GAGCGAGCCGUGGGGAGCACGGCAGUAACUGGCCUUUUCCCACAGUCCCGGCUCCAGUUCCUGCCUCUGAGUUCCUGCCCUGCUUGUGAGCCUGCCUUGGUUUUCUUCAGCAAUGGACCAUUAUUAGGAAUAUAUAGAGUGUCUCUAUAACCUCCCAAGAAGAGAACCUGUGAAACAGGCCAGAACUGAACUAUCUCAGACUUGACCUGAAAGAUUCAUGUGAGUCAGACAGCAAGAGCCUGGUCCUGGCUCCUCAGUGCAGAAGCCAUUGUGAAACUUCUGAAAACCACAUUUUCUGGGUCCCCAUCAACUGCAGCACACACCUAGCAGGAUGGCCUCUGAUGGUUCUUUUGUCUGCCCUGCAGUCAGCCUGAGAGUCUUAAGAAAGGGCUCUGCCUCAUCCAUCAAUCCUUACCCAGCGCCCAGAUCUGGCAUGCAGACAGAGGUGCACUAUACAUCUCUGUGGAGAGGAACUCAGCCUGUCAAUCCCCACCUGCAUCAGAGUAAGGAAGCUGCAAAUAAACCCUGUUAGGAGAGAGCUCAGCAACUCCACCUUGACGUCAAGCUAACAUGCAAAACUGGCCCCGGCUCUGAGAUAUAAGAAAGUCUUGGGUUUCGAACUUCAAAGAACAGCCAGGACUCCCCGUGAGCAGGAUCCAUGGUUUCUUUGAAAGUCGCUCUUAGGAACAAAUGAAGGAGAGAAGCUAAGUGGUGGCUGAUGAUCUGAGAAGUGCCAGGUUCCACCUGGGCACCUCACACACUGCAUCUCCACGAGCUUUGAAGAAUGUGGGAAACACCUGCCUUAUGGGGAUUGGAAGAGCAAAGGCUGACAGUUCUCUGGUGGGCACGGGAUACAGGUCAGCUGUUCAGUAGUGUGCCCAACAUGUUAAAUGCUGGUUUCCUGGGCUAUCUGCCACUCUCAUCUCAGAGAUCUUGGGACCUGAGUGUGAGAGACAAGUAACAGAAAGAUGAACGGAGAAGGACAAAUACAGUGGAUGCACUAUUUAUUUCCUGGGACCUUGCUUCUGUUGUACCUUGUUAAUCCUACGCUGUGGGUUGAAUUGAUGCUUUACAAGCCCACAAUAUACAGUUUUAUGAGCCC
rnacentral:lncRNA from 1 species